GGUCAAGUUUAAAAUUUCGAAGUUGUACAAUGUUCAAUAUUUAUUUUGUUAUAGAUUUAUUUGUUUUUAUAACCGUCAUACUCCAUGCUGUUUAGCGGAUUUGAGGCUAGAGCCACCAUUCUAACCACAAGAUAUGCAAGUUUCACUUGUGCAGGUGUUAACCUGUACCAGCAACAAUCUCAGGAUCAUCGCUUGGAUACACAACAUCCCAUUGCUUUGAAAAACUACUGAUGUAAAUCGAGUUACAGAUCUCUCUUUUUCCCCUUGUCUUUAAAUGUCCUCGUGUACGCCCAUGUGAAUGUGGGUGUAUUCACGAGGACACCCUUUUACCCUAUCCCGUCUGCUGGUGUCAUUUAACUCUUCAGCGGAUGGAUGGAGCGACUGGAGAUGCCUGGCUGUAUUUCCCAGGCAUAAAGGUAGGACCAAAUUGAUUCUUCCUUUUUGACUAUUUGGGGGCGUUGAUAAGAAAUCGUUGCGUAGUCACGAAGUACGUUUAAUCCCGAGCUAGGUGGUUGACUGCCACUGUUUUCCCUCUCCGUUUUGUUUUUUCCUCAGUCAAGUUUCACUAAAAAUCUCAUUUGUCGAACGACUGUAGAUCAGGCUUGUUUUGUUUUUUACCUCACAAAUUUUUCUGUGAGUAAACCUUCACUUUUUUGGAAAUAUUUGAACUUUUAAACCCUUGUAUCAAAGUGCAACAAGACAAUUUUUUGACCUGCCGCCACACCGGCAUUUUUAAAUAUGUGUAAUGUUUAUUUUAAAUGGAGAGGAGAGUUUCACAAAAAAUUCUUAUGGCUGGCUGAACAGUUGGAAGUCAUUCUCUCGGACCAGUCUGCUACUCUAUUUCAAAUAAAUAAUUUCCUGCAGGUUAAACCAGGUCUCAAU